ACCCAAAGGAGAAGAACAACAGGGAUUGACCUCAGUAACGGCGAGUGAAGCUGGGCAAGAGCUCAAAUUUGAAAGCUGGCUUCUUCGGGGUCCGCGUUGUAAUUUGGCGAAGCCAGAGGAUGCUUCCGGUGCAGCCCCCGUCUAAGCUGCCCUGCGAACGGGCCGUCAUAUUUGGGUAUGAGGGUGAGAAUCCCGUCUGGGCACGGGGUGUCUGCGUCCGUGUGAAGCUCCUUCGACGAUAGCAGUCGAGUUGUUUGGGAAUGCAGCUCUAAAUGGGUGGUAAAUUUCAUCUAAAGCUAAAUAACCUUAACCUGGCCGGAGACCGAUAGCGCACAAGUAGAGCUUGAUCGAAAGAUGAAAAUGCACUUUGAAAAGAGAGUUAAACAGCACGUGAAAUUGUUGAAAGGGAAGCGUUGAUGCGACCAGACUCGCCCGCGGGGUUCAGGUGCCGGCAUUCGUGCCGGUGUACUUCCCCGUGGGCGGGCCAGCGUCGGUUUGGGCGGCCGGUCAAAGGCCCUCGGAAUGUAUCACCUCUCGGGAGUGUCUUAUAGCCGAGGGUGCAAUGCGGCCUGCCUGGACCGAGGAACGCGCUUCGGCGUGCUACUCGGACGCUGGCGUAAUGGUCGUAACGAUGACCCGUCUUGAA
rnacentral:rRNA from 1 species